GGGGAGGGCGUGUGGUGCUGAGGGUGCGGCCCGGCGGGUAGAGGCAGCCCCGUUAGCACGGGUGUGACGCUGCGCGAAAGUGCUGGGCAGGGAGGCUGAAGGGGCAGCGAAGAGGGUGGUCGCGUCCUUCUGAGCAGUGGGAGGAUGAGCUGCCAACGAAGGAGUUGUUCCCUGCUGUGGAGCGUGCGGGGCUGGCCGCUCCUCCCUCAGCCACCACUUACUCAGGCUGCUAACAGAGGAUUCGAGUCCUUGGCCACGUAGCAAUUAGCAGGGCAAUAAAAAUGUCAGCUUGACAUGCUCAGGUGUGGAAGGUACGAUGGCGUGUGGUUCACUUGGCGUCGUGAGGCAGGAGAAGAAGCGGCUCAGCCCAUGGAGCGGGGUGGCAUCACAAGGAAAGCAGUGUCACCACAGCACAUUGGCUUCGUACAUCAUCCCUUGUUUCCAAUCGAGCAGUUCCCAAUGCACCUCUUCAUGAUGCAACAUUUCGAUCCUUACUAUUUGGCCUUCCAAAUGCAAGCGGAGUAGUCGCAUCAUCUGCCCAUGAAUAUCAGAGUGAGAACUUGCAGACGUUUGAUGGUAAAACGUGAGCGCUGUGAGGCACCGCUCUGUGUCAGUGCCUCAGUGGGAGCACGGGCUGAAGUGGAGCGGAAUUGCCAACCUCCUACCUUCACUGCCAGGAAUGUAAAUCAACAUUAAAGAUGAUUUUUAAGAGAAAUAGCAAGUUAAACAUUUGUACAAACACAUCAUCAAAUAGAGGUUGUACCGCCUCUCUCUAAACCUCUUGCCUGCUGGCAAAAAUAAAACUGUUCCAGUGACAUUUUUCCUGCUCUGCUGUGACAAGGGCUGCAUAAAUAUAGACACCGUGGAUUAGAAUAGACUUCAGCAAUCUCCAACUUCCUUUCUAGCAGCCGCUUCUGCAGUUUCCCAUAGCUAUGGGUGGAAAACAGGGAUCCUAAGCAGGGGUGAAUCCUGUGUUACUACCAGGAGCUGAGGAGGUUGCUGCCCUUUGCCAAGAAAGCGUGGUCAGGUUGCUGUCACACAUAGGACAGACAAAUACUGGAAUGCAGGGCCGGCAGGGGUGAUGCUUCCUCAUGUGUGCAUGGCACUUCAAGAUUUAGGAUCCUGUGGGCCUCAAGAACAGCUUUUCUCUGGGUGCAUUUCACUUCUCGUCAGCAGGCAGCUGAAAAAUUGGACUCACAUGGGUUAUGUGUGGUACUGGCCACCUGGCCUUGUCCUCUAACGUACUCAGCUAUGAAGACAGAGUCUCCUGCAGAGGGGAGACAUUCCAUUUGGUCAAUAAGAUUAGCAC
ensembl:lncRNA